rnacentral:rRNA from 1 species
AUACAGAGGGUGCGAGCGUUAAUCGGAAUUACUGGGCGUAAAGCGCGCGUAGGCGGCUUAUUAAGUCAGAUGUGAAAUCCCCGGGCUCAACCUGGGAACUGCAUCUGAUACUGGUAAGCUAGAGUUUUGGAGAGCGAACUAGAAUUUCAGGUGUAGCGGUGAAAUGCAUAGAGAUCUGAAGGAAUACCAGUGGCGAAGGCGACUUCCUGGCCAAAAACUGACGCUGAGGUGCGAAAGCGUGGGUAGCAAACGGGAUUAGAAACCCUAGUAGUCC